CAGCCGCCGCGGUAAUACCGGCGGCCCGAGUGGCGGUCACUAUUAUUGGGCUUAAAGCGUCCGUAGCCGGGUUGGGAAGUCCUCCGGGAAAUCUGGCCGCUUAAAGGUCAGAAUGCCGGAGGAUACUCCCAGCCUAGGGAGCGGGAGAGGCCGAGGGUAUUCCCGGAGUAGGGGUGAAAUCCUAUAAUCCCGGGAGGACCACCUGUGGCGAAGGCGCUCGGCUGGAACGCGUCCGACGGUGAGGGACGAAGGCCAGGGGAGCAAACCGGAUUAGAUACCCGGGUAGUCCUGGCGGUAAACGAUGCGGACUUUGUGUCGGACAAGCUAUGAGCUUGUCCGGUGCCGGAGGGAAACCGUUAAGUCCGCCGCCUGGGGAGUACGGCCGCAAGGCUGAAACUUAAAGGAAUUGGCGGG
rnacentral:rRNA from 1 species